GGUAGUUCGGUCUCAGACAGCUCUGAUCCAAAGCCCUGCAGCAGCUGGGCAAUUUCCUUCACUGUGACUGCAAAGGUCUCAAUGGCCUGCAGACAGACACACAUUUUUACUCAGAAAAGACACAAAGAAGGCCGGAAACGUGGCAUGCAGUGGUGGAUUAAGCAGCAUCUGAAGUGCCUACCGUACGGAGGACGAUCCAGUCACUCUGGCAAUACUCCACUUUUGCAGUGAAGUCGGAUGUCAAGUGGUUUUCAUCGAUGUAUCGCAGCAGGUCACCAACUGAACGCAGCAUCACCACCUGCAAAAUGUAGAAACCAAAAGGCAUCUAGGCAGUGCUGUGCUGCGUCUGACAUUUUGACAGGAAAUCAUCCUGGCUGAAGCGGAAGCCCAGGUCAGUGCUUGAAGAUGGACUGGGGGCGGAGCUUAACAAGGUGGAGGGGCGGAGCACCAAGACCAAAUGUAGAUUACCAGGAAAUGAGGUCUGAAAGAAAGCAACAGAUACAACUUUGUUACUCAACAUAUCUGUUCAAGGAAGGCAUCAACAUCAAACAAACUCCCCAGAUGUACAGUAUCCUCGCCGCCCCGUUAGAAGCUUCCCACCUCCCCACCUCUCGGCGGAGCUUACCGCGGCCCGGCGCAGACGGGGGAAGCCCCGCAGCGGGUUGGACUCGGCCAUGGCUUCCUUGUUCUUGCCCUGUUCUCCCCCC